CUAGCAGCUAAUUCAAACUUAAUCCCAUUAGCGGGUCCAUGCUAGCUACCGAAAAAGCUCACGCUUGCUUACUCCAGCACGCCGAGGGUGGUGAGGGAAAAGUCCUUGCUAGCGGCGCUAGCAUUAGCCACAUGCGCUAACGGAGCUCACCUGCUCCAGUGAAGUCACGGUAUCCACGCCGUCAUCCGUGAACAUCUCCGCGGGGUGACACUCGCUGAGGCACCGCAGUGGGGUCGGUAGGCCGUCCAUCGUGGAGCUGAAGCUGAAGCUCGCCUUGGUUUGUUUUGAUUGUUCGCU